AACGACUCACUGCUUAAACGAGUCGACUCAGUAGAAGCGAGUCGUCAUGUCCAGCGCUUGUAAAGUCGUGUUGAAUGAGCGUGUAGACGGAGAUAUAACGGAACUCCAGCGUUAAACGAGGCGAGCUAAUGUGGCAGUGAACAUGAUCACAAUGCGGGAUUUUACACUGCAUCCAUCUGAACACAGGCGCAUUUCACUAAAUCACAACACGACUCACCACCAGUACAGGAGACAUGCUGGAGUCUGAGCGAGGACUGUAGAUGCACAGGCCCCCAGGCGAGUUGACAUUAGGAGUCCUCGCACACGCCUGUCGAUAUGCAGUCAUUCAGCAUGUUUACACACCCUCUUGACUCCGGGAAACAGUUCCAUGGUUCCACAGUUCAAUUCUGUCUCAGCACCAAGGCCAGCAGUAACCUAGGUUAGUCUGGGAAAACCUGUGCACUUCUGCUCCCUCCCCUUUGCUCCAAGAGACCACACUCCCAUAGAGGAAAUGGGAGAUCAUCAUCAGGUCAAGACUUCCUUCCUUUUCAUCCAACUACAGUCACCCUCCAGGGCCCAGCAGUGCCAACCUUCUGCUGACACUCUGAGCUUGGUCACUCCAGAGGAAUUAUCAUCAGCCACAACAGCUGCAGACAUAGCACGACCUUCAGUCGGAGACCUAGAGAGCAUCAACACCAGGGCGGAAGAAAGUAUAACAGCAUACAAGGAUGCUUUAGACGACACCUUAUUACAGAGUGUGGAUAGUAAAUCUAUACCAGAGGAAGCACCUUCACCACUAUUUGAUUAUAGGAUUACAGAAAAGAGCUAUUCCUCUGAUUCAACAAGGAUAGAUAUCAGGGCGGCUAACCAAGAAACCACUUCAUCAUCAAGCUGUGAAUGUUUAACAGGAAAUGGGUCUCUAAGUAAAACAGAUUCUCAGGAGUGCUUGAGUU